UACAGAGGGGGCAAGCGUUGUUCGGAAUACUGGGCGUAAAGGGCGCGUAGGUGGCCUUCUAAGUUGAACGUGAAAUCCCUGGGCUCAACCCAGGAACUGCGUCAAGACUGGGAGGCUUGAAUCCGGGAGAGGGAUGCGGAAUUCCAGGUGUAGCGGUGAAAUGCGCAGAUAUCAGGAAGAACACCAACGGCGAAGGCAGCUCGCUGGGACGGUACUGACGCUGAGACGCGAAAGCGUGGGGAGCAAACAGG
rnacentral:rRNA from 1 species